rnacentral:rRNA from 1 species
GUAAUGCCGGAUGCUCCAUCACACCGCAUGGUGUGUUGGGAAAGCCUUUGCGGCAUGGGAUGGGGUCGCGUCCUAUCAGCUUGAUGGCGGGGUAACGGCCCACCAUGGCUUCGACGGGUAGCCGGCCUGAGAGGGCGACCGGCCACAUUGGGACUGAGAUACGGCCCAGACUCCUACGGGAGGCAGCAGUGGGGAAUAUUGCACAAUGGGCGCAAGCCUGAUGCAGCGACGCCGCGUGAGGGAUGGAGGCCUUCGGGUUGUAAACCUCUUUUGUUAGGGAGCAAGGCAUUUUGUGUUGAGUGUACCUUUCGAAUAAGCACCGGCUAACUACGUGCCAGCAGCCGCGGUAAUACGUAGGGUGCAAGCGUUAUCCGGAAUUAUUGGGCGUAAAGGGCUCGUAGGCGGUUCGUCGCGUCCGGUGUGAAAGUCCAUCGCUUAACGGUGGAUCCGCGCCGGGUACGGGCGGGCUUGAGUGCGGUAGGGGAGACUGGAAUUCCCGGUGUAACGGUGGAAUGUGUAGAUAUCGGAGAGAGAA